rnacentral:rRNA from 1 species
UGCGUAGGCGGCUUGGUAAGUCAGAUGUGAAAUCCUGGGGCUCAACCUCGGAACUGCAUUUGAUACUGCCAGGCUAGAGUACUGGAGAGGAGACUGGAAUUUACGGUGUAGCAGUGAAAUGCGUAGAUAUCGUAAGGAAGGCCAGUGGCGAAGGCGAGUCUCUGGACAGUAACUGACGCUGAGGCACGAAGGCUAGGGGAGCGAAACG